UACGGAGGGUGCAAGCGUUAUCCGGAUUCACUGGGUUUAAAGGGUGCGUAGGCGGGUAAGUAAGUCCGUGGUGAAAUCUCUGAGCUUAACUCAGAAACUGCCGUGGAUACUAUUUGCCUUGAAUAUUGUGGAGGUGAGCGGAAUAUGUCAUGUAGCGGUGAAAUGCUUAGAUAUGACAUAGAACACCGAUUGCGAAGGCAGCUUACUAUGGUGUCAUUGACGCUGAGGCACGAAAGCGUGGGGAUCAAACAGG
rnacentral:rRNA from 1 species